GGGUUUUCAAUACAAAGGCCGCUGAAUAUUCAGGGACUAAUGUCGCAGUGGUAAAAUUCAAUACUGAUGAACCCUGUUGCUGUUGGCCAUAUUGGUGCGUCGCAACCACAAACUGAUAUUUAUUGAUAAAAAUGUAUGGAUUUUUUGGGAAGAAAAUCAAAGAUUUAUUCGGAAACAUUUUUUGGUAUGAAUUAGUCGAUGUUAAGAAGCCGCGAGAUCAUGGAGUACCUUAUUCACUUACCAAAGGACUCACAAGUGUUUACAGAAUGCAUACGCUCCUACCUGAGGAGAUUGUUCUUCGAAAACUCAAGCCUGACUGAUACAGUGCAAGGAGAGGAAGAGUGUAUCUACCACAACAUGAGUUGGCUCUGGCAGGGCUUUCAGAUGACGAUAUAUUUGCUGCUCUAGGAAAUUCCGCUCUGGCAUCAAGUCCUCCAGUUGGUGAGAGGAAAUUGUUCUCAUAUAUCACACUUGGCUUGGUUUUGCUGCUCCUCAUGAUUCUCCAUGCUUUCAAGAUCAAGAAACUAGAAAUCUACACAAUAACAAUUUGAUUGCUGAUUCUUCUGGUACAUCAGAUGUCUCUAAUCCAAAAGCCAUGUAUGAAUUGAAGCAGCCUGCAAGUCGAUUACAUGGUCCGUCUUUUUCAGUGAAAAACAUCUGAUCUCAGUGAUGUAUUACAUAAAUUUCUCAAUGCCUGUUACAGUUUAC